rnacentral:rRNA from 3 species
AGCAGCCGCGGUAAUUCCAGCUCCAAUAGCGUAUAUUAAAGUUGUUGCAGUUAAAAAGCUCGUAGUUGAAUUUCGGGAUUAGUACGUUGGUCGUGCCUUCGGUACGUACUGGUGUUACUGAUUCCUACCUUCUGACGAACCAUCAUGUCAUUAAUUUGGUGUGGCGGGGAAUCAGGACUGUUACUUUGAAAAAAUUAGAGUGUUUAAAGCAGGCUCGCGCUUGAAUACAUUAGCAUGGAAUAAUGAAAUAGGACGUUGACCCUAUUUUGUUGGUUUCUAGGAUUGACGUAAUGAUUAAUAGGGAUAGUUGGGGGCAUUAGUAUUCAAUUGUCAGAGGUGAAAUUCUUGGAUUUAUUGAAGACUAACUACUGCGAAAGCAUUUGCCAAGGAUGUUUUCAUUAAUCAAGAACGAAAGUUAGGGGAUCGAAGACGAUCAGAUACCGUCGUAGUCUUAACCAUAAACUAUGCCGACUAGGGAUCGGAUGAUGUUAUUUUUAAUGACUCA